AGCAGCCGCGGUAAUUCCAGCUCCAAUAGCGUAUAUUAAAGUUGUUGCAGUUAAAAAGCUCGUAGUUGAAUUUCGAGAUCAAAUUGUUGGUCGUGCCUCGGUACGUACUGGCAUUAUUGAUUUCUCCCUUCUGAAGAACCACGAUGUCAUUAAUUUGGUGUCGUGGGGAAUCAGGACUGUUACUUUGAAAAAAUUAGAGUGUUUAAAGCAGGCUCACGCUUGAAUACAUUAGCAUGGAAUAAUGAGAUAGGACGUUUGAUUCUAUUUUGUUGGUUUCUAGGAUCGACGUAAUGAUUAAUAGGGAUAGUUGGGGGCAUUAGUAUUCAAUUGUCAGAGGUGAAAUUCUUGGAUUUAUUGAAGACUAACUACUGCGAAAGCAUUUGCCAAGGAUGUUUUCAUUAAUCAAGAACGAAAGUUAGGGGGCUCGAAGACGAAUCAGAUACCGUCCUAGUCUCAACCAUAAACGAUGCCGACCAGGGAUCAGCGGAUGUUGCUUUUAGGACUC
rnacentral:rRNA from 1 species